UGAAAUUUUAAAGAAGACAGACGUUUUUUUCUCUUUGAAAACACAAAAAGAUAUACACGAUUGGCUAUUUAAUCUGCGUUCUGGUUCCGUGAGUCGAAAGGAUUAAAUUUACUUUUGGUUAUUAAGGACAACUGGUCCGCCAACAUUGAAAUUCUAAGGAGUCUAUCGCAUUCCGAAGUGACCUGAACCGUGAAAAAAUAAGUUUUUUUUUUAAAUUUGCUUAUUGCUGUCAUGUUCAAAACGAUGGUACAUCAAACCCUUUAUUCCUCAUUUUAAUGUGUGGUCACAGGAAUCCAUUUCUGGUUCAUUUGUGAAAUUGAAGCGAUAACGCCCGAGGCAUUGGUCAAGUUCCCACAUUACACCAAAUGGUCAACGUCAAAUAAUUCAAUAAACAUACUCUAAUAAGGACAGCGGCAAGGUUUAAAUAAUUGUGGAUUUGCCAAAAAAAAAAAAAGAAGAAUCUAUUUCUAAGCACACAAAUCAUUCAUAUUUAAUUUAAAUUUAAUCCUGGUAGAGUGAAAAUUUUGCAGUUUUUGUUUGGAUCAAGAUGCGACAACAGGCCUGCGGUCAACUUCAAGGAUCUAAAGCACAACAACAAUAGCGUACAUUCGAGAGCCCACGAUCAAAGAGGAUGAAAAGGGAGAAGAGAUGGCAUUACAGCGAAAUUCGGGGUGACCGGUGAUAAAAGUUAAAGACACAACAUUUUUGAAUUGCUUACGAUAUUUCGUUUUCCUUUUAUUCCAACUUUCGGUUGGAAAGAAACAAAGCAAAAUACGAAGAAAUGUUCAAACAAUUAAUAUACAUCGAAAAGGUUGUUUCUUUAACCACGCAGAUCAGACAGCAUAUAAACAAUCAAACAAACCUUAACAUUUUAUAUUAAAAUGGGAAUGCUAGUAUGUGCAAUGAUCGAAACAUAGCAUGCCAGUUCUAUGAGUAAGCAGCCAGUGCCAUUUGGCAACGAGUAUGUUGGAACGGGCAUGAUACAUGUGACUUUGAAAAUGGUACAAAAUACGAGUCGAAAUGGUACUUUUUACUGCCAAAAAGUACCACUGCUACAACAACAACGAAUCCCAUGGCAGCCGGUUUUUGUACGUACCAGAUUGACCCGAUGAAGUCCUUCAUCGACACGGGCUGCCGCUUCAGUGUACAACACUAUGCUACAACAACAACAACAACAAUUUUUGCUGGAGGAUGCCAUUGUUGAAGAUAAGGUAAAGGCGCCAGGACCUCACUAGGAGCUAAACCCCCCCUAAGGGGGAAGUGAUCCAACCUAGGCAAUAUGGGAAUCAAUAUUGGUAUCGAAUAGAUUACGAAAAU
rnacentral:sRNA from 14 species